AGCAGGUCGGGCGGGCGCGCUUGCCGGCCCGAAAGGUCCGGCGGUGAGGAAAGUCCGAGCUCCGCAGGACGGGAUGCUGGAUAACGCCCAGGGGGGGCGACCCCACAGACAGUGCCACAGAAAAUAUACCGCCCGGUUUCGGCCGGGUAAGGGUGAAAAGGCGAGGUAAGAGCUCACCGCGCCUGCGGCGACGCAGGUGGCAUGGUAAACCUCAUCCGGAGCAAGGCCAAAUAGGGGGAGAGAGGUGGUCCGCCUCGCGAUCAUCCCCGGGUAGGCCGCACCGAGGCGGCGGGCAACCGCCGUCCCAGAUGAAUGCCCGCACAGCGCGCAAUGCGCGUGGACAGAACUCGGCUUAUAGACCCGCUCCU
rnacentral:RNase_P_RNA from 1 species